UGAGGAAUAUUGGUCAAUGGGCGGAAGCCUGAACCAGCCAAGUCGCGUGAGGGAAGACGGCCCUACGGGUUGUAAACCUCUUUUGCCGGGGGAGCAAUGCCCAGCUCGCGAGCUGGGAAGGAGAGUACCCGGAGAAAAAGCAUCGGCUAACUCCGUGCC
rnacentral:rRNA from 1 species